rnacentral:rRNA from 1 species
AAAGCCUGACGCAGCAACGCCGCGUGAGGGACGAAGGCUUUCUGAGUUGUAAACCUCUUUCGACAGGAACGAUUGUGACGGUACCUGUAGAAGAAGCACCGGCCAACUAUGUGCCAGCAGCCGCGGUGAUACAUAGGGUGCGAGCGUUAUUCGGAUUUAUUGGGCGUAAAGAGCUCGUAGGCGGUUCGAUAAGUCGGGUGUUAAACCCCCAGGCUCAACCUGGGGCCGCCACCCGAAACUGUCGUGACUAGAGUUUGGUAGGGGAUCACGGAAUUCCUGGUGUAGCGGUGGAAUGCGCAGAUAUCAGGAGGAACACCAGUAGCGAAGGCGGUGAUCUGGGCCAAUACUGACGCUGAGGAGCGAAAGCGUGGGGAGCGAACAGGAUUAGAUACCCUGGUAGUCCACGCCGUAAACGGUGGGCACUAGGUGUGGGGACUUUUCAACGGUUUCCGCGCCGCAGCUAACGCAUUAAGUGCCCCGCCUGGGAGUGGCGAAAAGUU